UGCACACAUUUCACUGCUUCUUAGCUGGGGCUGAGGUGGAAGAGGAACCCGAAUGGAAAAAGUGGCCAAAACUUAUUAAAUUUAAGGACAGCCAAAAGGACGUGAUGGGACUGACCACCUUCUUAACCUAAAGGAAUUAUCCAGGAUAUAACAGGCCAUCAUAUCACACUGAAGACUAGAUUGAUCCCUUCAAGAAAUAAGGACUUCUUCCGAGCAGAACUGAAUCUACGACUGACCAGAUCACACCUAGAUGGGGACUGCUCAUUUGUGAAUACGUCUUGCUCUUCUGCCUCCAUUCUUAUGCUAGUCAACCUAGGUCUCACUUUAGUGACUUGAAGACCAUCUUGGGAGUUCCUAGACUCAUUAGUCUGUUCCUCUUCCCAAUGUGUUGAGUAAAUCCCCCCUCUCUCUAUUUUCACCAUCACUUGAGACUUUACUUGGCAUAUUGGGAUAGGUCAGUGAACCCAACUCAUCAUGGAUGCUGGAGCUCUCACUUUAUCGCUUAUACUCCAGUCAUACAGUCAUGGCAAUGAGUUAUAAUUCUUAUUAACAUGAAAUUCCUAAGAUACUUCUCGUGGAGCCUUGCUAUCUUACCUAAUAGUCUUUAUUUUCAUCGAGCCAGAGUGGACAUUGCUUGUAGAAGGAAGGCUUCUAAAGACCAGCUGUAAAGUUUGAGUUCAUUUUGAAUCUUGACAUCUCAGUGUUGAUACAGGCAUUUACAAGCAGCGCCUCGGGCUGGAGAGAUGGCUCAGCAGUUAAGAGCACCGACUGCUCUUCCAGAGGUCCUGAGUUCAA